rnacentral:rRNA from 1 species
UACGGAGGGGGCAAGCGUUGUUCGGAUUUACUGGGCGUAAAGGGUGUGUAGGCGGCUGGAUAAGUCUGGUGUGAAAUCUUCACCGCUCAACGGGAAGGGGUCACUGGAAACUGUUCAGCUUGAGUAUGGUAGAGGCAAGCGGAAUUCCUGGUGUAGCGGUGGAAUGUGUAGAUAUCAGGAAGAACACCGGUGGCGAAGGCGGCAUCCUGGACCGGCAUUGACGCUGAGGAGCGAAAGCCAGGGGAGCAAACGGG